CCUACGGGUGGCAGCAGUAGGGAAUAUUGCUCAAUGGGGGAAACCCUGAAGCAGCAACGCCGCGUGGAGGAUGAAGGUUUUCGGAUUGUAAACUCCUUUUGUUAGAGAAGAUAAUGACGGUAUCUAACGAAUAAGCACCGGCUAACUCGGUUCCAGCAGCCGCGGUCAUACGGAGGGUGCAAGCGUUACUCGGAAUCACUGGGCGUAAAGAGCGCGUAGGCGGGAUAGCAAGUCAGGUGUGAAAUCCUAUGGCUUAACCAUAGAACGGCAUUUGAAACUGUUAGUCUAUAGUAUGGGAGGGGUAGGUGGAAUUCUUGGUGUAGGAGUAAAAUCCGUAGAGAUCAAGAGGAAUACUCAUGGCGAAGGCGAGCUGCUAGAACAUAACUGACGCUGAUGCACGAAAGCGUGGGGAGCAAACGGGAUUAGAUACCCUGGUAGUC
rnacentral:rRNA from 1 species